AUAAGUAAUGUGAAUUGCAGAAUUCAGUGAAUCAUCGAAUCUUUGAACGCACCUUGCGCUCCUUGGUAUUCCGAGGAGCAUGCCUGUUUGAGUGUCAUUAAAUUCUCAAUCCUUUCUGGGUUUAUUCUCAGCUAGGCUUGGAUAUGGGGGUUUUGCUGGCUUUGUACAGACAAAGUCAGCUCUCCUGAAAAACAUUAGCAAGACUGUUGUUGCAACCUUCUAUCUGGUGUGAUAAUUAUCUACAUCAUAGAUUGUAUGCAGUUUAUUAUGUCUGGCUUCUAACAGUCCAUUGAAUUGGACAAAACCUAUGACAAUUUGACCUCAAAUCAGGUAGGACUACCCGCUGAACUUAAGCAUAUCAAUAAGCGGAGGAAAAGAAACUAACAAGGAUUCCCCUAGUAACUGCGAGUGAAGCGGGAAAAGCUCAAAUUUAAAAUCUGGCAGUCUC
rnacentral:rRNA from 1 species